CUAACACAUGCAAGUCGAGCGACUCUUCGAGAGGAGCGGCGAACGGCUGCGUAACACGUUGGAACCUGCCCUAUACUCAGGGAUAACAUACCGAAAGGUAUGCUAAUACCGGAUAGUCCUGCAAAGGUAAAGCUUUCGCGGUAUAGGAGGGUCCUGCGGCCUAUCAGCUUGUUGGUAAGGUAACGGCUUACCAAGGCUAUGACGGGUAGCUGAUCUGAGAGGAUGAUCAGCCAGAAUGGGACUGAGACACGGCCCAUACUCC
rnacentral:rRNA from 1 species